AUGCACAAGCAACAUUAUAAUAGUACUAGGGGUCUUAGAACCAGUGUAAGGAGAAUUGUUUUGGUUAUUGUCAUCAUCAUGAAGUUACCGAAACAGGAACUUUCUCUUCCUGAUAAUCAUCUUAAGGCUGUGUUCGAACACUUAUUUUUGUUAUCUUGCUUGUUUCAAUCAACAUUUCAGAUCAUGAUGAAACUGAAUUGGAAUCAAACAUUGAGUUACGCUCCGUCUUACUCUGUAAAAUAAAAAUUGGAUAGAUAGUUAUUUUUUGUUUUGUAAGAAUAACCUGUUCAUACUGUAAAAAUAAAAUUUUGUUAUAUUUAUUUAUUUAAAUUGAGAUCAUUAUUUUCUCCGGAUGUUUUUAUUUUAAGUGCUCAAGCUUGAUCCUCUACUCAGAGAUGAACAGAAGGUGAAAAUUGAAACACAUGUACCCAGUUUACAGAAUUUUGAAAUCGCUGCUGUUCUCAGUUAUUGGAGAAAAAAAGUUGGACAUCACACUUUGAAAUUUCACUGAUAAGACCGUUUAAAAUGAAGAAAAAUCAGUGAAAAUUGCAAAAACUAAUGUCUGUGAUUUUUCUGUACUGAUGUAAAUGUAAUGAUGAAUCUGCAAAAAUGGUAAUAGAGGUACGUGUUUCUCAAUUAUCAUAGUGGUGUUAGAUGUAAGCACAUCAUUUCUUGUCGGACAAGACAAAGUCUAAAGCAUAGUAUUUUUUUAAGAAUAAAAAAGAAAAUUUCUCAUAGGCACAGUAAUAUACUAUUUGGACUCGAGAAUUAUUGCAAUUCUAUGGACAACAAAACACUUUCUUGACAUAUGUUUCUUCAUAAUUUUUCACCAGUGAAACUUUAGCCUAGAUUUAACAUGUUCUGCUCACUUAAAGUUCAGGCUUACAAUGAAAUCUAACUGUAUUGUCAUCAAACUAAACAGGCAACAUUUCAGCAGCAUCGUGACCAGUAAUAGUGGGAAAUAAAUUAGGUACAGCAAUAUUGCCGCAAAAAUAUCGCUGUGUUGUUUCUUUGCAAUGCGGAUACAGUUGUAUAACUUAUUUGGGCCAAAAAUCUUUUCAUUCUUUUUCCAACAAUUUUUCAUUAAGAAAUUUCAAGAGAACAUAAUUUGCGGAGAUGAGGCUUGAGGCUGUUGGCAUGUGUAGUCCUCGGGACUCCUCCCCCUCCCAAUGUUGGCUUUUUUUUAAAAAAUUAAUUCCUCAACAGCAACUGUUCACUAAUAUCUACGGUGAAAAAACAAAACCUUCUUUUCUGAAUGGUUUGCGACUUUGCACACUCUGUCAUGUAUUUAACUCUUUCAAAAAUUAGUGAAGUCAAUGAAAUUACUCAGUUGUGAAAAUUUCUUCGCUGUCUGAAAAAUAUUUUAUGAAAAUUUUGAGCAACACAAUUCGGUUGUUUCUCUACAAAAAUAUAAAAGUGGAACGAAAAUGUAGGAAUAUACUCAGGUCGGCAUACAGCAAUAGAGAUACCUACGUGGUUUCCUAGUUUAAACAUAAAUAUGCUGAGAUCAAGACGAAAUUGGACAAGAUUGCAAGGCUGUGGAAUGAAAUGUGGAUAUUUGACAUAAGUAUGUGUUCAAAUGGGGAAAAUUUUGAUUUUUCUACAUUAUAUCUGACAAUGAGGGAAUUGGAAGAAUUUAUUAAAAAUCAGCUUCGCCGAGGUUAUUAUUUCUACCGAUUUGCAUUAGAGGCAUCAUAUUUUGAGCAUUUUUGGCCCAUGACAGGGGAGCCUUACUCUUUCCUCCGCUGCUCUUCAAAAGUGACAUGGGUAUGCCAGUAGGUAAUUUCUUACCUAUAUAAUUAGGGGAUUUUUUGAAAUUCUACCUUGAUUCAGGGGAUUUUUUGAAAUUCUACCUUGAUUCUACCCCACCCUCCCAAAUUUUUUCCUCUCAAGUUUUUCUUUAUUUGGACAACAUUAGCUCCCCUUAAACUUUACUCUCAAUUAAAAAUAGUAUAAUCCGUGGAUUGAUUUGAAACAUGUUUUACUAGCUCUAAAUUGCCGGGAAUUUUCCGGGCAACAGCGGAAGUCGGCUUCAUCCCCCUCCCUUCCUAACUUCAUGCUGUGCCGCGUAUUUCAUUUUAAUGACGUAAAAUGAAUCUCAAGCUCUGAUUGGUUACCGCUCUCUCUGACUGAUAAGGAUUUUACUCGGCUAUCAAAAUAAACAAUAACAUUGCGAGUGCAGUGGGCAGUCAGUGGAAAAAUGCAAGAGGGCUGAAUGUCCGGUUCUAUUUUAAUCUACCUCAUAAUUUUUUUUUCUAAUUUCUCAUCACGUUUUCAGUUUUACGCCGAAUAAGGCAGUUGGAUUGAAAUUGAAUCAAAUAUAACAUGUUCGUUU
rnacentral:lncRNA from 1 species